rnacentral:lncRNA from 1 species
CCGCCGGCCUUUACCGCGCUCCGUGCGCGGCCUUCCCCUUUUCUUCUCUUCGGGCUUUUGGUCCAGCUCCUCCUUUUCCUCCUGCGACCGGAGCAUCCUGACCCGCCUCACCCCCGGCUGGGUCGGAGUGAUGCUCGUCCCGCAGGCACUGUCUUCAUAGUCCACAGGUCUCAAACUCCAGCAUCUCAGAAUGAAAGGAUUCACAAGUGCUCACAAGAGGCUUGGCUGCCAGGGGAAGCUCCGACCUGAAGAUUUGAACUAAUGAGGGACUAUAAAGGCCAAGACCUUGUUCUUGCCAUUUUAGAGAUUCAGAAUAUAAUCUACAAAGUUAGAGAUUAUAAUUGGCCUCCACUGUGUGAUUUGAUUCCAAGCUACCCAUGAAGAAACCCAGACUCAGAGGUCACUUGCCUAGGGUCACACAGUGACCUGAGAUGGGAACCACAGGUCGCCACAUAGACUUGGUCAUCAGGAGUGGGCCUGGUGAGGCCAAAGAAGGAGAUUUCAUCUGUCAAGGUUACUCACACAGGGCAGCUGAUUCUGUUUCCUAGGGCCUGUGUCUUAGGCUCUUCCAUCUCUCUAACCACUAGAGUCCCUCUGUCCUCAAGUCAUCACAGUAAACUCCCAUUAUGUCUCGGAAUUCUCUUUGCCCAAGCACUCAGGCCCUGCCCUGGCAGCUCCAGAGGAAUGCCCGGGACCUUUGUGAGCUGAGUGAUGGGUCUCCCCAUUUGUGGCAGGGGGAAUUUGAAUGUCUUA